UUAGGAGAGAGUGAGAAGUAAGU
rnacentral:miRNA from 1 species